CCUCCUUUUUCUUCUUUCCUGACACCUCCUUACUCACCCCUAUUUCCCUUUCUCCUCCUACCUCACCGUUUUCCUCACCUUUAUUACUCUAUGCUAGUAGUUUAUCACUAUGAGCAAAUAUUCAAAGUCCUACCACUAUCAUGUAUGUACAACAACCUUUCUAACUUUUAACCAGUGUGUUCAGGAAAGGGGGGGAGCAAAUUUUUAAAAAUCAGAAGCAUUCCAGGAAAUGAAAAUGAGGAAGACUUGCCCAAAUAACCCUGAAUAAUCUAAGGUUGUCUUUUUUUCCUUUCUCUCUCUCUUUUUUUAAACAGCUCAUCUUCUUGGCUCUCCUCCAGAGCUCUGUGGCAGCAGGCAGAAGUCUGGCAGUGUGGGAGGAGACACACAGAAGCCCAGAAGCCAUGCUGCAAGAUGAACAGCUAUCUAGGCCCAGAACAAUGCUGAAACUGCAUGACUGAAGAAGCAGGAAGACCUCUGGUGGUUGACUGACACUGUGCGUCCCAUCACUACCCACCCACCCCACCCCCCCACCGUUUCAUGAGCUUCUUGAACCUAACCUUCAGAAGCUCUGUCAGCCGGCAGAGAGGUAAGACAAUGCUAAAAAGUCAUAACGUCAACAACAAAUCCGCCUGCAUAUGUCUCUUCUCCCUCAUCCAUUUCCCACCAUUUGAGCCACAGGAAGUGUAACCUGUGUUUCUGACUAAAGGACAUCAAGCUAUGACAAAUUCUAUUUGUGGAUGAUCCUGCCUUCUACAAACUGACAUCCAAUAAAACAUAUGAAAGAACAUAUCAAUAAACUGAGCAAGGCUUAUAUUCACCCU